UGUUUCGACGACGGAAUGUCUCACAGGAAAUUCUCGGCUCCCAAGGCUUCCUGCCUCGGAAUCGCAGCAGCCGGCAUCGCGGGAAGGUGAAGAGCUUCCCCAAGGAUGACGCCUCCAAGCCUGUCCACCUUACAGCCUUCCUGGGCUACAAGGCCGGCAUGACCCACAUCGUGCGCAAGGUCGACAGGCCAGGGUCCAAGGUGAACAAGAAGGAAGUGGUGGAGGCUGUGACCAUUGUGGAGACACCGCCCAUGGUGGUGGUCGGCAUCGUGGGCUAUGUGGAAACUCCUCGAGGUCUCCGGACCUUCAAGACUGUCUUUGCUGAGCACAUCAGUGAUGAAUGUAAACGGCGCUUCUACAAGAACUGGCAUAAAUCGAAGAAGAAGGCUUUCACCAAGUACUGCAAGAAGUGGCAGGACGACGAUGGCAAGAAGCAGUUGGAGAAAGACUUCAGCAGCAUGAAGAAGUAUUGCCAGGUCAUCCGUGUCAUCGCCCACACCCAGAUGCGCCUGCUUCCUCUGCGCCAGAAGAAGGCCAACCUGAUGGAGAUUCAGGUGAAUGGGGGCACAGUGGCCGAGAAACUGGACUGGGCCCGGGAGAAGCUGGAGCAGCAGGUGCCUGUGAACCAGGUGUUCGGGCAGGAUGAGAUGAUUGAUGUCAUCGGGGUGACCAAGGGCAAGGGCUACAAAGGAGUCACCAGCCGCUGGCAUACCAAGAAGCUACCCCGCAAGACCCACCGAGGCCUGCGCAAAGUUGCCUGUAUUGGGGCCUGGCACCCUGCCCGCGUGGCCUUCUCUGUGGCGCGUGCUGGGCAGAAGGGUUACCACCACCGCACUGAGAUCAACAAGAAGAUCUACAAGUUUGGCCAGGGCUACCUUAUCAAAGAUGGCAAACUGAUCAAAAACAACGCCUCCACUGAUUACGAUCUGUCUGACAAGAGCAUCAACCCUCUGGGUGGUUUUGUCCACUAUGGUGACGUGACCAACGACUUUGUCAUGCUGAAAGGCUGUGUGGUGGGGACCAAGAAGCGAGUGCUCACAUUGCGCAAGUCCUUGCUGGUACAGACCAAACGCCGGGCACUGGAGAAGAUUGAUCUCAAGUUCAUCGACACCACCUCCAAGUUUGGCCAUGGCUGCUUCCAGACAGUGGAGGAGAAGAAGGCGUUCAUGGGACCACUUAAGAAAGACCGAAUUGCAAAGGAAGAAGGUGCUUAA